UGUCUUCAAGUAGAUGUGUGUAUGUAGAAAUCUUCUAGAACAUUAUCUAAUAGAGUAAGGAAAUAGAGUUGUCAGAGAAGUCCUGUAGACAUUUACAAUAGAUGUAUAUCAGGUGUCUAACAGACAUCCUGUGCCUCAUGGGAUUAAGAAUAUGCAACGAUUGGUUUUUAUGUUCUAGAAUACUCCGUCUGUGUCUGUGACCACAUUCUGAUUAUGAUGUGAAAUAUUUUAGCCUUGAAAGCUCAGUUGUUGACAAAUCCUCAUCAAACAGAAUCUUCCAUUACAUGGUCCUGCAAUGCGUCCAGGGUGUACCUCGCCUUUUCAGUAGCUAAGUAAGCUCCACCAUCCAGCUAAACAGAAAUAAAGUGGGUUCAGAAUUUGAUGGUUAACUGGCAUUUUUGUAAAAUGAAAAAAAUGCUUCCAAAUGUUAAAAAAACAGAAAUUCAAAAGUGUGCGGGUUAUAAUUAGCAGAGAAAAAUCAAUUAUAUACAGUUUAUUUGAAAGUGUAUAAGAAAUGAGCAGCCAGAACGGAAAGCUUCUCACAGUCUGGAUGCAUUUUGGUUGCAGGCCAAUCUAAAAUCAAGCGAGAGAAGAUAGUUUGACUAUGCUUAAGAUCUGUUGGGCCUCAUGGUGACUCACUAAUCUGCUCAUCCAAGUGGAAACUCAGCAACAAAAAUCCAGAGAGAGCAAGAGAAAGGAGAGUUGAAGGAAUCCAGAUUGCUUCAAGCCACAAACUGUCGGGAGCUGCGAUGGCUCCCAGCUCCAGCAUUAUUAAUUGCAUUGCUUGCCUCAGCUCCGAGCCCAGCCCUUCCACAGAGAACAGCUUGUCUCAGCCCAAAAUCCAACAAGCCCAUCCAGAACGAACUGUCGCUUCCACACAGCUUUGACUGACCGUCUCUCCGUGUUCAGAGCUUUUAAAAUAAACUCCUCUACAUUUGGCA